rnacentral:rRNA from 1 species
UACGUAGGCAGCGAGCGUUGUUCGGAGUUACUGGGCGUAAAGAGUGCGUAGGCGGUUUUCUAAGUUUGGUGUGAAAUCUCCCGGCUUAACUGGGAGGGUGCGCCGAAGACUGGAAGGCUUGAGUAUGGGAGAGGUAAGCGGAAUUCCUGGUGUAGCGGUGAAAUGCGUAGAUAUCUGGAGGAACAUCGGUGGCGAAGGCGGCAUCCUGGACCGGUAUUGACGCUGAGGCGCGAAAGCCAGGGGAGCAAACGGG